CUAGGAACAGAGCCUGAGAAUGAGAUUCCUGUGAAAGUGGCUUAUUGAGGACGUGCUGCUCAGGUGAAACUCAUAAGGGAGUGAGGAAAGUAGCAGAGAGAAGGAGAAAUAGAAGAUGCUGAUGUGGGUGCAACUGAAGUUUCUCCUCAGCCUGGUCCCACAGGGAGCGCUGGAGCAUCACAGACUGGUGUCACCUUGAGGGGCUGUGAUAUGUAUUCACGGACACCUGAGUACGUAUUUGUAUGCAACUGGCUACAGCACUGUGAAGAGACAACAGUUUAUGCAUUCUAUGACUGUGUUCCAAGGACAGACUAUUCCCCAAAUCCAGGUCAGCUAUCCAACAAAGCAAGCUAUUGAUUGCAAAGAGAAUUGAAAGUGCCUGAACUGAAACAUUUAAAUCUAUUACUGCUGCUAGGAAAGCGUAAGUUUAAAAAUCAAACAAACAAACAAAAAAACAUCAUUUUCUUAUUAGGUAAAACCUAAAAGUAUUUUUUAAACCACCACUAUAUAUUUCUUAAUGCAAAACUACUUUAAAUAGAAACCUUUUGAGUAUAAUCGUUACUUGUUUUUGUAAACUUAUUAGUAAAGUAUGAUGUAUAUACAGAAAA
rnacentral:lncRNA from 10 species